AUUGUCAAAUACUCCAGGUUGACGUGAACACACUAGUGAUGUGAUUGUCAAAUACUCCAGGUUGACGUGAACACUCUAGUGAUGUGAUUGUCAAAUACUCCAGGUUGACGUGAACACACUAGUGAUGUGAUUGUCAAAUACUCCAGGUUGUCGUAAACAUUCUAGCGAUGUACUUGUCAAAUACUCC
rnacentral:sRNA from 1 species